GUAUGGGCGAAUUCUGUGUUACUCUGCCAGUAGUAAAUAUAGUCAGACACCAUCCAAAAGAAUCCUUUCAUUCCUCCUUUCCUAAGGUGAGUGCUGUCCUGUACGUACAGGACAGCACUUACUGCACUCACGUCAGCGGAGAAAUGAAUACAACG